CACGCCCUCUCUCGAUGGCAGUAAACAAUCUCUGAGUAUUUUUUUCUGCAGUAUGCUUACUACAAGCUACAAGGUCUUCAUCAGAACCUUCCCAUGCUGUGAAACAAUCUUUGAAGGUUGCAGUUACAGUCCGUUUAAGGUCAACCGCUUCUGUUCCUCAGAUAGAGAUGAGCGCCAUUUGACAUACAGCGUGGGACUGCCGUGAUGGGUCUUCCUGUGAGCAUGAGCAGUCUGGAGCCUGCAACAAUGUCCACUCACUUCCGUCAUCCAAUCAGUCAGCUGGGCUCGCCCACCUGCCUUCUCCCCUCGCCUCGCCUCCGCGGUGUUCCCCCGGCUUCCCUCCACGCUCCUCGCCCCUCUCGGUCGCCUCACCUGAACCUUUCCAGCCCCGCCAGGUCCUCGGCCCCCCGCGUCCACGCCUGCCAGCGUCCAACUUUCCCCUUUUCACCUCGUGUCGCUCCUCUCCCUUUUUUCCCUCAAUAAACCUCUUUUGCAAACUGA